rnacentral:piRNA from 1 species
CAUGACAAUGACUAGUAUUUCAGAUC